GUGAGACAUAAAUGAAGGAUUAGCACCAAGAGUGCUUUUUACCUUGGAAGAUCUAAUUAGAUUAAAAAAACAUAGCCUUGACCCUUUUCAAAAUAAGUGUCAAUGAAAAGACUUACAAGCUGCUAGAGCCAGAGAUGAUUACAGGAAAAAAAAUCAUUAUGCUGAUAAUGUUGGCUGCCCUCAUGACUUCAUCCAGUCACGUUAGCUGGACAAGCUUACCAAUGGAGAUUUUAUGCUUUGAGGUGUGUCAUGUGAAAUGGCCUGUUGCUCCUGCAAACAGGGAGAAGGAAACCAAGGCAUACAGAGAAGGAGGAAAUUAGUAGCUCAAGAUAAAAAAGCAGUGAGAUUCUCCACUGAAGACUAAAGAAUCCCUACAAUGGAAUUUGCUUGCUGUCUCUGCAAUCCUCUAUUUCCAUCCCUGGAAAGAUAGAGCAUUAACAUGAACUCAAUGACCAGAAGUCAAGUUAAUGAAGGCAACAUCUGGAAGUUGUUUCUGGAGUGCAGAAUCUUAAAGUAAGUGUGUGAGGGCAAUUAAUUGAUUUAGCACUUUUAAGGGAAGUUUCUUCUCAAUUAUA
rnacentral:lncRNA from 1 species